GUCAAGAGGGAAACAACCCAGACCGCCAGCUAAGGUCCCAAAGAUUGGCUAAGUGGAAAACGAAGUGGGAAGGCUAAAACAGUCAGGAUGUUGGCUUAGAAGCAGCCAUCAUUUAAAGAAAGCGUAAUAGCUCACUGAUCGAGUCGUCCUGCGCGGAAGAUGUAACGGGGCUAAGCCAGUCACCGAAGCUGCGGAUAUUGUUCUGUGAUUAUCACAGAUAUAUAUGGUAGGAGAGCGUUCUGUAAGCCUGCGAAGGUGUCUUGUAAAGGAUGCUGGAGGUAUCAGAAGUGCGAAUGCUGACAUGAGUAGCGAUAAUGCGGGUGAAAAGCCCGCACGCCGUAAGCCCAAGGUUUCCUGUUCAACGUUCAUCGGAGCAGGGUGAGUCGGCCCCUAAGGCGAGGCAGAGAUGCGUAGCUGAUGGGAAGCAGGUUAAUAUUCCUGCACCGUCGUAUGAUGCGAUGGGGGGACGGAUCGCGGAAGGUUGUCUGACUUUGGAAUAGUCAGUUUCUGGUUCAUAGAAGGUGCUUAGGCAAAUCCGGGCACGUAAUUCAGGGACUGGGACGAAGGGUCAUUGACCCUGUAGCAAUCGGAAGUGGUUCCAAGAAAAGCCUCUAAGCUUCAGUCAUACGAGACCGUACCGCAAACCGACACAGGUGGGCGAGAUGAGUAUUCUAAGGCGCUUGAGAGAACUCGGGAGAAGGAACUCGGCAAAUUGGUACCGUAACUUCGGGAAAAGGUACGCCCCAGUAGCUUACUGCUUUACUGCAGAAGGGUGACAGGGUUGCAAUAAAAUGUGGCUGCGACUGUUUAAUAAAAACACAGCACUCUGCAAACACGAAAGUGGACGUAUAGGGUGUGACGCCUGCCCGGUGCCGGAAGGUUAAUUGAUGGGGUUAGCUAACGCGAAGCUCUUGAUCGAAGCCCCGGUAAACGGCGGCCGUAACAAUAACGGUCCUAAGGUAGCGAAAUUCCUUGUCGGGUAAGUUCCGACCUGCACGAAUGGCGUAACGAUGGCCACACUGUCUCCUCCCGAGACUCAGCGAAGUUGAAAUGUUUGUGAUGAUGCAAUCUACCCGCGGCUAGACGGAAAGACCCCAUGAACCUUUACUGUAGCUUUGCAUUGGACUUUGAACCAAUCUGUGUAGGAUAGGUGGGAGGCUUUGAAGCGGGGACGCCAGUUCUCGUGGAGCCAACCUUGAAAUACCACCCUGGUUUGUUUGAGGUUCUAACCUUGGUCCGUUAUCCGGAUCGGGGACAGUGCAUGGUAGGCAGUUUGACUGGGGCGGUCUCCUCCUAAAGUGUAACGGAGGAGUUCGAAGGUACGCUAGAUACGGUCGGACAUCGUGUUGAUAGUGCAAUGGCAUAAGCGUGCUUAACUGCGAGACCGACAAGUCGAGCAGGUACGAAAGUAGGACAUAGUGAUCCGGUGGUUCUGUAUGGAAGGGCCAUCGCUCAACGGAUAAAAGGUACUCUGGGGAUAACAGGCUGAUUCCUCCCAAGAGUUCAUAUCGACGGGGGAGUUUGGCACCUCGAUGUCGGCUCAUCACAUCCUGGGGCUGUAGCCGGUCCCAAGGGUAUGGCUGUUCGCCAUUUAAAGUGGUACGUGAGCUGGGUUUAAAACGUCGUGAGACAGUUUGGUCCCUAUCUGCCGUGGGCGUUGGAAAUUUGAAGGGGGCUGCUCCUAGUACGAGAGGACCGGAGUGGACGAACCUCUGGUGUACCGGUUGUCACGCCAGUGGCAUUGCCGGGUAGCUAAGUUCGGAAGAGAUAACCGCUGAAAGCAUCUAAGCGGGAAACUUGCCUUGAGAUGAGAUUUCCCAGAGCCUUGAGCUCUUUGAAGGGUCGUUCGAGACCAGGACGUUGAUAGGCU
rnacentral:rRNA from 1 species